UACGUAGGGGGCGAGCGUUGUCCGGAUUUAUUGGGCGUAAAGAGCGUGUAGGCGGCCAGGUAGGUCUGCUGUGAAAACUCGAGGCUCAACCUCGAGACGUCGGCGGAAACCAUCUGGCUAGAGUCCGGAAGAGGAGAGUGGAAUUCCUGGUGUAGCGGUGAAAUGCGCAGAUAUCAGGAAGAACACCAAUGGCGAAAGCAGCUCUCUGGGACGGUACUGACGCUGAGACGCGAAAGCGUGGGGAGCAAACAGG
rnacentral:rRNA from 1 species